AGAGUUUGAUCCUGGCUCAGGAUGAACGCUGGCGGUCUGCUUAACACAUGCAAGUCGAACGGGUACUUCGGUACUAGUGGCGGACGGGUGAGUAACGCGUGAGAAUCUAGCUUCAGACCGGGGACAACAGAGGGAAACCACUGCUAAUACCCGAUGUGCCGAAAGGUGAAAGAUUUAUCAUCUGAAGAUGAGCUCGCGUCCGAUUAGCUAGUUGGUAGGGUAAGAGCCUACCAAGGCGACGAUCGGUAGCUGGUCUGAGAGGAUGACCAGCCACACUGGGACUGAGACACGGCCCAGACUCCUACGGGAGGCAGCAGUGGGGAAUUUUCCGCAAUGGGCGAAAGCCUGACGGAGCAAGACCGCGUGAGGGAGGAAGGCUCUUGGGUUGUAAACCUCUUUUCUCUGGGAAGAAGAUCUGACGGUACCAGAGGAAUCAGCAUCGGCUAACUCCGUGCCAGCAGCCGCGGUAAUACGGAGGAUGCAAGCGUUAUCCGGAAUUAUUGGGCGUAAAGCGUCCGUAGGUGGCGGUUCAAGUCUGCCGUUAAAACCAGUAGCUUAACUACUGACAGGCGGUGGAAACUGAACAGCUAGAGUGUGGUAGGGGUAGAGGGAAUUCCCAGUGUAGCGGUGAAAUGCGUAGAGAUUGGGAAGAACACCGGUGGCGAAAGCGCUCUGCUGGACCACAACUGACACUCACAGGACGAAAGCUAGGGGAGCGAAAGGGAUUAGAUACCCCUGUAGUCCUAGCCGUAAACGAUGGAUACUAGGUGUUGUGAGUAUCGACCCUCACAGUGCCGGAGCCAACGCGUUAAGUAUCCCGCCUGGGGAGUACGCACGCAAGUGUGAAACUCAAAGGAAUUGACGGGGGCCCGCACAAGCGGUGGAGUAUGUGGUUUAAUUCGAUGCAACGCGAAGAACCUUACCAGGACUUGACAUGUCGCGAAUCCUCUUGAAAGGGAGGAGUGCCUUCGGGAGCGCGAACACAGGUGGUGCAUGGCUGUCGUCAGCUCGUGUCGUGAGAUGUUGGGUUAAGUCCCGCAACGAGCGCAACCCUCGUUUUUAGUUGCCAGCAUUAAGUUGGGCACUCUAAAGAGACUGCCGGUGACAAACCGGAGGAAGGUGGGGAUGACGUCAAGUCAGCAUGCCCCUUACGUCCUGGGCUACACACGUACUACAAUGCUACGGACAAAGAGCAGCUAAACAGCGAUGUCUUGCUAAUCUCGUAAACCGUGGCUCAGUUCAGAUUGUAGGCUGCAACUCGCCUACAUGAAGGCGGAAUCGCUAGUAAUCCCAGGUCAGCAUACUGGGGUGAAUUCGUUCCCGGGCCUUGUACACACCGCCCGUCACACCACGGGAGUUGGCCACGCCCGAAGUCGUUAUCCUAACCCGCAAGGGAAGGAGAUGCCGAAGGUGGGGCUGAUGACUGGGGUGAAGUCGUAACAAGGUAGCCGUACCGGAAGGUGUGGCUGGAUCACCUCCUUUUUAGGGAGACCUAACCCAAUUGUUGACUGAAAAUUUGUUCAUAAGUCACAAUUGAGGUCAUACCUAGGUCGAACGAAAUUGAUGAAUUGGCUUUCAAACUAUUGUCAGGUUCUCUUUAAGAUGUGAACAAACCGAUCGCUUUUAGUUCGGUUUUUUCCUAACUCAACUGCAUUUGCCAUUAGCUAUAUUAGUGUUUGUGGAUGUUAGUUGAAUUGCGAAAAAAUUUCUUCAUCAUCUAUCAAAAAACACCACACAAACGGCAAUUGAUUUGUUAUAUUAGUCUUGGUGGCAAUCAGUUAACCAGCAACAAAAAGUAUUGCAACAACCUUUGGAUAAAAACUUCAACAACUUAUCUAGUGCGAUAGUUAAAUUAGAGAGCCUGCUGGAUGAAAAAAUCCAGUAAAGAACCUUGAAAAUUGCAUAGUAACUUGUCAGGUAGAAAAUGUCAUUAAUUAUUAGUUAUUAGUGACAAAUUCACAGACACCAAUGUAAGAAAUAUUGUGGUCAAGCUAAUUAAGGCUUACGGUGAAUACCUAGGCACACAGAGGCGAAG
rnacentral:rRNA from 1 species